rnacentral:rRNA from 1 species
UACGUAGGUGGCAAGUGUUGUCCGGAUUUAUUGGGCGUAAAGCGAGCGCAGGCGGUUCCUUAAGUCUGAUGUGAAAGCCCCCGGCUCAACCGGGGAGGGUCAUUGGAAACUGGGGAGCUUGAGUGCAGAAGAGGAGAGUGGAAUUUCAUGUGUAGCGGUGAAAUGCGUAGAUAUAUGGAGGAACACCAGUGGCGAAGGCGACUCUCUGGGCUGUAACUGACGCUGAGGCUCGAAAGCGUGGGGAGCAAACAGG